GACGAACGCUGGCGGCGCGCCUAACACAUGCAAGUCGAACGAGAGAUGAGGAGCUUGCUCUUCAAAUCGAGUGGCGAACGGGUGAGUAACGCGUGAGGAACCUGCCUCAAAGAGGGGGACAACAGUUGGAAACGACUGCUAAUACCGCAUAAGCCCACGGCUCGGCAUCGAGCAGAGGGAAAAGGAGCAAUCCGCUUUGAGAUGGCCUCGCGUCCGAUUAGCUAGUUGGUGAGGUAAUGGCCCACCAAGGCGACGAUCGGUAGCCGGACUGAGAGGUUGAACGGCCACAUUGGGACUGAGACACGGCCCAGACUCCUACGGGAGGCAGCAGUGGGGAAUAUUGCACAAUGGGGGAAACCCUGAUGCAGCGACGCCGCGUGGAGGAAGAAGGUCUUCGGAUUGUAAACUCCUGUUGUUGAGGAAGAUAAUGACGGUACUCAACAAGGAAGUGACGGCUAACUACGUG
rnacentral:rRNA from 2 species